ensembl:lncRNA
CGAGUACCGAGCUGCUGGCUGGCUCUCCGGCGCUGCAGGCGCGGAGGCGCAGCGCCUCUGGGGGCGCAGCGGGAGCCGCCCUCCCAGUGCACCGCGCACUUCCCCGGCUCGUGCUGCCCUGCGCCUCUGUACCGACCCUUUCCCGAAGUUGCAAGCCGUGCAAAUGGCCCUGUGGAGGCACUAGGCCGGGAAAAGAGGCUGCUGGAGGAAGAACGUAGGUGGGAGGUGGGCGGGCGACUUGCUUCUCAGAUUCGUCCCAAUUAGCGCCAAGUUGGCAGACAACCCUACAAACCCUUUGGUUGCCCAAAGUCACAUUCUCCGUAUUUUAAAAUAAUCUGAUAGUGAAACUUCAACUCCCCUCGUAAGUCAAAGAGGGACAGACUUUUAGCACCUCUGCCUCGCAGUAACACGACACAGAACAGACCCAGGUGAUCCUCAACUGCAGAGCUCUUCCCCAAGUUGGCAUCUCUCUGAGUCCGGCGGAGAGAAGCUGGGAUGGCCCCGCAGAGAGCCCCCUGCCGGAGGGGCGGAGGGCGUGCAGAGCGUGGCGACCGAAGCGGAUUAUUGUGGGACUGCACAAACGCAGACCCAUCCGAGGAGUUUUGCCAGGAACACCACCGCCUGCAUUGCGUCGGACCUGACCAUUUACAAUGUGAAAUUCCCGGGGAAGGUCGUGGCUAGGGACUGUGCGUGUGCGUGGCUGUGGACCAUAAGGGUGGUAGAAUUGGUGGUCGGCUUUUCUAGCAAGAGAAGGAAAAAGCUGUGCUGGCAAGGGUGGGAACUGAAUGACAACCCCCCUCUGCCAAGCCACCCCCUCAUAUUUUCCAUCUACCUCCUCGCUCCUGCCCUCCUCCGCCCUCCCCAACCCACGCCCGGGUGGGCCAAUCGCUGCUCCGCAUUCCAGGCGCUUUCUCAGGUUUCUGCUGAUCUUGCAGCGCCCAGAAAUGGACCGAGCGGACCCGCCGCCGCACGCACCCUGCCCCACUCGGAGCUCCUAACGGCUCCGGACGCGCAGCGGAGCCUCGGCGAGGUCCACGCUGGGCUACGGAAUCCGAGGGGACCCGAGAGCCAUGUAGACCCAGGCUCUUGCUCGCCCGCCUCUUUCGGGAUCGAAUCAAGGGCUCCCGUAGUGUUAGGAGGGGGCGAGAGUGCUGUUUAUCAUCAUUUGCUUCAGAGCUUCGGGAGAGGGUGGCAUUUUGCUUUUCCGCCCCGCAUCCUCCGGAACUCCCUGCACCAGAGAGAGGACAGCGUCUCUAGGUUGCUGGCAACCGGUGAGAAUGGGGGUAGGGAAUGGAUAUUUCCGCCGUAGCUGCUCAGUAAAGCGACUGUCCACCUGAACGGCCGCAGGACGAGGGGGUGAGGGCGGCGAGUUUGCCCCGGCGCCUCUCGGAUGCGGCUGCGGCGGCGGUCGCGGCUCCCGCCCCGGUACUGCAAAGGCGACCUGCCGCAUUCCGACUCGGGCUCUCCGCCGACUCAGCACCGCCCCUGCGCCAAGCCGACCGGCCAGACAGGUGGGCCCUGUGGGAGCAGGAUGUGCAGAGGAACAAUGAGGCCUGAGCUGAACCCAGCCCUGCCGGGGCGAGCUGAGCCACCAGCGGGACAGCAGUCUGACUGAACUUCCCCGUCCUGCCCAGGAGAUGGCGAGCGUGUGCUGUUGGUGCUUCUCAAAGCCCGCUGAAUUGCUUGAUACGAUCUUCUUUAUGUUAUGAAAGAAGCCAGAGCAGGUUACCUUCCUGGACGUCUACACCAUGGCACCAUGCUCUUCAACUGGGUCAGUUUGUGGUCAUUGCUGCCCACUCCUCCUACAAUCUCUUUGCUGACUACUCUUGCCCGACGAGUUAGCUUGGCUGUCCUCCUGUACACCUUCAGCCUCAUCGCCAUUUUCCUCAACUUCAACCAGCAGACAUACCUGAGAGGCAAUGGGAGAAGCUGACUUAAGGGGAAGGACCCCAGGGCUGAAAUUAGCAGAACAGUGCCCACAGAGACUUGGGCAGAAGACGGCGUGGCUCAGCCCACCUGUGCUGAGCACAUACCUCUGGGCCUGCAUUUUGUCCUCUGAAGGAAGGAGACUUUCCUCCUUUCCAAAAUUCAGGAGGGCAGAAACAGACCCAGCUUCCCGUACUCACUUCCGUUACGGCACUUCCCACAUGGGUUUGUAACUGUUUGUACAUCUCCUUCCUCUACUGGACGUGAGCACCUCGCAGGAGGGACUGUCUUGUUCUCGAUGUUCCCCACACCUGGCACAGCGCCUCAAUAAAUGUGCAUUUGGAUCUUGUAUUCCAUGCCUGGCAGUCAGGACCUCUGGGGAAGUUCAGGGCUGGGAGCAUGGAAGAAGUCAAGGCUGGCUUGAUAUCGAAACUUGUGUGGGAAACGAUGACCAAGAAAACCCAAGAGUGAGUGUGGGUUUGUCUGAUUUCCAGCAUGGCUGUGUAAAUGGUUACCCCCGUGUAUCUUUACAUCUGUUCACCACUGCCUGCAUGUGUAUUUGUGUAGCUGUCUGAUUCUGUGUGUGUGUGAAGGGGUGACCCAGAGGGCUAGGUACGUAUGUCUGAAUACUUGUUUUCAAAUAGAUGCACGUUUCCAUUUCUGUUUCUCUCUGUUUGUGAUGUUUGCUUGUGUCUUCCGUAAAUCUCUGAACAUGCCACACUGGCAAAUAAACACGCUGGGAUCAAGAGCUCUCCUGUCCCAAUGGGGGACAUGGAAGUCCACUGAGAAAUCUCCGAAUAUGUGUUCCACUGAGAGCCUCCAAGAGGGAUGUGAGAAAAGGAGAAAUGUGGCAAAACAAAUACAGCAUCCACUUCACAAGGAGAGGAACUGAGGCCCAGCAAAAGAGAAUAUACCCUCAGGGUCACAGGGUUCGGCAGAAGCCAAGGUCUGCUGAGCCGUGCAAACCAGAAGUGGAUGGGUCUGGAAAGCAGCUCACCUCAGAGCUGUCCCUGUGCCUCCAGGGUGCUUAUCCUUCUUUGCAAUCUCUCUCCCAAUUCUUUCCCUCCUUUUAGUGAGUUCUUACUUUGCGAUGCCUCAACAGUCAAGAACAUUAUAGAACUGUUGAAGUUUAUGCAAUGCUAUUUGUGGACCGUUUAUCCAUCAGGUACUCUAGUUAAUUAACUCAAGGCCAGGCGGGGCUGCAUCCUGUGGACAGAAUACUCAGAGAAAAUUUCCUCUGAGUUAUGCAGGAUGUGAACACAUCCCACACACUUUUCCAUACGCAGGUUGAGUGCCUUCGGAGGUGGGUGCCUAUUUUAAGGCAAACUGGUUUUUUUUAAACACAUAGGAGUGAAGUCUGUUCAUUUGCUUAGCAGCCAGGAUAAAGGAAAAAUUAGUCAUUCCAGAGUUCGGAGCUAAUAUGUGUCCAGUUCUUUGUGGCUGCCUCUGCCUGAUUAAGCAGCACGGGAGGAAGCGACAGGUCCCUAGUCACGUCUGAAUGAAAUGAGAUUCUGGUUGGGGAAGGCCCGGGGGGGGGCCGUGUGCUCGAGAAGGUUUGGGGAAAAAUCCUCAGUGAGUGAAGAUGCGCUUCCUUUUUUAACCUGCACUGUGCUGCAAGGACUCUGCCUGCUCAGGAGUGCUGUGCAGGUACUGUUUAUCAGUUUGGAAAGAUUCUGUGCAUAUUAUAAAGCACAAAGUUAUUUGUAUUUGUCAAAACAUAACCAAAUUCUUAAGUAAUGUUGUAGAAGUUCACUCUAUGAACUUUUUAAGAUAAUGAUAAGCAAGGGUGCUGGAGAGCUUUUUAAAUAUGCAGCAGGGCUGAGCUGUCGUCCAGAGAGUAUCCAUGUGCCAAGACAGGGAGGCCCAAAGUACCCGGUGGGAAGGUCCCAUAGACAGAGUGAGGGCAUAGCCCCCUCACCCCCCACAUCCAUUUCCCGUGGGUUCCUGGCUAUCACCUCAUAAAUCAGAGUAUAUCUAUUGAGGAAUAAAAACCACCCCAAAUGGACAGCUUCGUGGUCCUCUUCCAGCUCAGAAUACAGUGAAGGCCCCUCUCUCUGCCCGCCCCAAGGACUGCUGGGCCUGAGUGGGUGUCUGGAGGCAGAAAUCAGAAGAAAAAGCCACUUUCCCCUUUUGUCACCCUCCCUCUCUCUUUCCUGCAGUCCUCUGCAAAAAUGGAGGAGCCCCUCUAUAAAGAAGACAACCUCUGUCUUUUGUCCUUUGUCCCUGGGUCUUCCAGCAAAAUGUCUGUUACAAAGGAGGACUUUAAUUAGCGCAUUUGAAAUUCAAACCCUCGCAAUCAGGAUCUAGGAUCUUAGGGACCCCGCGAGCUUCAGCAAGCCAGCAAGGUGCUGCGGCAGGGCUGUGUGGUGGGAAGGGGAAGGAACAGGCUAGCAAAGAAAUAAGGGACCUUGACCUCAAGGAUCUGCAUUUUAGAGGGGUAGGAGGACAAGGACUUGUGACUAAAAUAAGGGAGGAUUCCUUUAAAACAGACCAUACGCAGCCGUUACCAAGCUGGAGGCGCAUGCUGGACAGCACUCACUGGGGAGGCGGCCCUGAAUUCUCAGGAGCAACAACUGAGUUCAGAGGCUGUCUUUGCCCUCUGCUGCCUGGAUGGGGGUCGUGGGGUGGGGUGUGUGUGGAGCAGUUCUCACCACCUUUUGGUGCCUUUUUUAUGCAUAGAAUUCAGGAUAGGAGGUGCAUUCAGCUCUAAAAAUUCUACUCUCACACAGCUGGAAUAAUAAUAUGUGAUCAUUAAAAACCGUUCUUUUAAAAAUACUUAAUUUAACAAUGCAAUAUAAAAUAAAAGCAUAGGAGAAUCCCAAUUUUGCAGAGAAUUACACACAAAACCUAAGCACAAAAAUGUUAACAG